GCAGGGCAACAUAGACGUAUAUGUUCACGUCCUGGAUGUCGCGCAGGGCGGUGUGGGUCACUGCUGUCGAA
rnacentral:tRNA from 1 species